AUUGAACGCUGGCGGCAUGCUUUACACAUGCAAGUCGAACGGUAACAGGCCUUCGGGUGCUGGCGAGUGGCGAACGGGUGAGUAAUGCAUCGGAACGUACCCAGAGGUGGGGGAUAACGCAGCGAAAGCUGUGCUAAUACCGCAUGUGAUCUGAGGAUGAAAGCGGGGGACCGAGCAGCAAUGUUUGGCCUCGCGCCUUUGGAGCGGCCGAUGUCGGAUUAGCUAGUUGGUGGGGUAAAGGCCUACCAAGGCGACGAUCCGUAGCUGGUCUGAGAGGACGACCAGCCACACUGGGACUGAGACACGGCCCAGACUCCUACGGGAGGCAGCAGUGGGGAAUUUUGGACAAUGGGCGAAAGCCUGAUCCAGCAAUGCCGCGUGCGGGAAGAAGGCCUUCGGGUUGUAAACCGCUUUUGGCAGGAACGAAACGGUGUCCGCUAAUACCGGGCGCUAAUGACGGUACCUGCAGAAUAAGCACCGGCUAACUACGUG
rnacentral:rRNA from 1 species